rnacentral:rRNA from 1 species
CGCCGCAGAUGUAUAGGGGCUCAAGCUUGAUACCGAAGAUAAGAAUUCUUCCGCCUUUGGCGGAGGAGUGGUAGGGGAGCGUCUUCAUUAGCUGUGAAGCUUAACCGGAAGGUUAGGUGGAGCAAUGAGGAGUGAGAAUGUUGGCAUGAGUAACCGCAAUGGCAGUGAAAGCCUGCCACACCGAAAACCCAAGGUUUCCUUGGCAAUGAUAAUCAUCCAAGGGUUAGGCGGUCCUAACCUCGCGCCAGAAUAUGGCGAAGGGAUGGACAGGAGGUUAAUAUUCCUCCCCCUUGUUCCAUGCUUCUUUGGAAUGACGAAGAGUAGUAGCUCGGGCGAGUUAUCGGAUUUUUGUUCGUAGUAUAGCCCUCCUUGCCGCAAGGCGAGUUGGGGAGUAUCGCGACAACCCUGGUGCAAACUAGGGAAGCCGAGUGAGCACUCUUCCAGGAAAAGUACCAAAGAUAUGAGUGGAAUGAGUCCGUACCGUAAACCGACACAGGUGGGUUGGCGUAAGUGCGCCAAGGUGAACGUGUGAAAGCUCCUGAAGGAACUCGGCAAAAAAGUGGUCGUAACUUCGGGAUAAGAUCUGCCCCAAGCCCGCAAGGGUGAGGGGCCGCAGCUACCGUUUCUCAAGCGACUGUUUAUCAAAAACACAGGUCUCUGCUCAAUUCGUAAGAGGAUGUAUAGAGGCCGACACCUGACCAGUGCUGGAGUGUUAAUCCUGCCGGUUCCUGCCGCAAGGUGGGCAGCUGAGUGGGUGAAGCCCCAGUGAACGUCCGCGAUAACUAUAAUCGUGUUAAAGUAGCGUAACCCCUUGCCUCGUAAGUUGAGGGCCGCAUGAAAGGUGUCACGACUUGAGAACUGUCUCCAGGAGCAGCACGGUGAAGAUGCAACACCGGUAAAGAUGCCGGUUACCUGCGGAUAGACGGAAAGACCCCGGGAGCUUUACUGUAGCUUCUCAUUGUCUUAUCAUUUCGGAUGCGUAGCGUAGCGGGCAGGCUUUGAAGUUCCUCUCUCGGGAGGGAUGGAGCCGACCCUGAAACA